AGAAAAGGAUGGAACUCUGAGCAUCUUGCAUGGUUGGAGAAAGAGAAAAUAACUUUCACAAACUAGGCCUGAGUAUGGGUUGUGUGGGGUGUUUGGCUAUGUGUUACCUAAUGGGGUAACAGACAAAUCUAUUUGGUUACCUAAAAAAUGUGCUCUCCCUUUCAGAACCUCUUACCAACAACCACACCUCAGGAAGCUCAGCAGUGGUUGCAUCGAAAUCGUUUUUCUACAUUCACAAGGCUUUUCACAAACUUCUCAGGGGCAGAUUUAUUGAAAUUAACUAGAGAUGAUGUGAUCCAAAUCUGUGGCCCUGCAGAUGGAAUCAGACUUUUUAAUGCAUUAAAAGGCCGGAUGGUGCGUCCAAGGUUAACCAUUUAUGUUUGUCAGGAAUCACUGCAAUUGAGGGAGCAGCAACAACAGCAGCAGCAACAGCAGCAGAAGCAUGAGGAUGGAGACUCAAAUGGUACUUUCUUCGUUUACCAUGCUAUCUAUCUGGAAGAACUGACAGCUGUUGAAUUGACAGAAAAAAUUGCUCAGCUUUUCAGCAUUUCCCCUUGCCAGAUCAGCCAGAUUUACAAGCAGGGGCCAACAGGAAUUCAUGUGCUCAUCAGUGAUGAGAUGAUACAGAACUUUCAGGAAGAAGCAUGUUUUAUUCUGGACACAAUGAAAGCAGAAACCAAUGAUAGCUAUCAUAUCAUACUGAAGUAGGAGUGCGGCGUUUCGUGCCCAGUGGCUGCUGCUUCCUUCACCUCUGAAGAUGGCCCUCUUGAAGGGGGGAUAUGAAUGGAGAUU
rnacentral:sRNA from 1 species